GUGAGGAAUUUUCCGCAAUGGGCGAAAGCCUGACGGAGCAAUGCCGCGUGAAGGAUGAAGGCCUAUGGGUUGUAAACUUCUUUUCUCAGAAAAGAAUUAUGACGGUAUCUGAGGAAUAAGCAUCGGCUAACUCUGUGCCAGCAGCCGCGGUAAGACAGAGGAUGCAAGCGUUAUCCGGCAUGAUUGGGCGUAAAGCGUCUGUAGGUUGUUUAAAAAGUAUUCUGUCAAAGAUUAGGGCUUAACCCUAGAUAGGCAGAAUAAACUUUUAAGCUAGAGUUUGGUAGAGGCAGAGGGAAUUCCCGGUGGAGCGGUGAAAUGCGUAGAUAUCGGGAGGAACACCAAAGGCGAAGGCACUCUGCUGGGCCAAUACUAACACUGAGAGACGAAAGCGAGGGGAGCAAAUGGGAUUAGAAACCCGAGUAGUCC
rnacentral:rRNA from 1 species